rnacentral:ncRNA from 1 species
AAAAGACUUAGUCCUAACCUUACCGUUAAUUCGUGCUAAACAUAUACAUGCAAGUAUCCGCGUCCCAGUGUAAAUGCCCCCGAUUUCUUACCAGAAUGACAGGAGCGGGCAUCAGGCACACCCACCUGGCCGUAGCCCAAGACGCCUUGCUCAGCCACACCCCCACGGGUACUCAGCAGUAAUUAACAUUAAGCAAUGAGUGUAAACUUGACUUAGUUAUAGCACCCUCAGGGCCGGUUAAUCUUGUGCCAGCCGCCGCGGUCAUACAAGAAGCCCAAAUUAACAGCAUUCGGCGUAAAGAGUGGGUGCCCGCUAUCCAGGCGAUUAGAGUUAAACCGCAGCUAAGCUGUCAUAAGCCCAAGAUGCGCUUAAAGCCACCUAAUUGACCCUAAUGCCUACGACCAACUAACCCCCACGAAAGCCAGGGCACAAACUGGGAUUAGAUACCCCACUAUGCCUGGCCCUAAAUCCUAAUACUUACCCUACCAAAGUAUUCGCCUGAGAACUACGAGCACAAACGCUUAAAACUCUAAGGACUUGGCGGUGCCCCAAACCCACCUAGAGGAGCCUGUUCUAUAAUCGAUAACCCACGCUACACCCUGCCACCCCUUGCCCAAGCAGCCUACAUACCGCCGUCGUCAGCUCACCUCCCCUGAAAGACCAACAGUGAGCCCAAUAGCCCGAUCCGCUAAAAAGACAGGUCAAGGUAUAGCCCACGGGGUGGAAGAAAUGGGCUACAUUUUCUAAAAUAGAAAACCUCACGGAAAGGGACAUGAAACCACCCCUGGAAGGCGGAUUUAGCAGUAAAAUGGGACAAUAAAGCCCUAUUUAAGCUGGCCCUGAGGCACGUACAUACCGCCCGUCACCCUCCUCGCAAGCUACAGCUCUACAUAAUUAAUAACCCAAUCAGCUGAAGAUGAGGUAAGUCGUAACAAGGUAAGUGUACCGGAAGGUGCACUUAGCACACC